UUUUGAACGGGAGGGUUCGAAAUUGACAGGCCGCUUCCGCUGUCACUUAUGGAUGUACCCGCGUCGCAUUAGCUAGGUGGAGAGGCACCAGCUCACCAAGGCAACGAUGCGCAGCCAACCUGAGAGGGUGAUCUGCCACACUGACACUGACACAACGCCCAGACUCCGACGGGAGGCGGCAAAUUGGAAUCUUCGCCCAUGCACGAAAGUCUGACAGAGCGACGCCGCGUGAGUGAUUAAGGCUUUCGGGUCCUAUAACUCUGUUGUAAAUGAAGAACACGUGCAACUUGAAUAAGCUAGCACCUUGACAGAACCUAACCAGAAAGCCACCGCUAACUACGUGCCAGCAGCCGCGGUAAUACGUACGUGGCUCGCGUUAUCCGGAAUUAUAGGGCGUAAAGCGCGCGCAUGUGGUUUCUUAUGUCUGAUCUGAAAUCCCACGGCUCAACCGUGUAGGGACAUUGCAAACUGGGAGACUUAAAUGCAAAAGAAGAUAGUGGAGUUCCAUGUGUAUCGGUGAAAUGCGUAAAGAUAUGGAGGAACACCAGUGGCGAACGCGACUUUCUGGUCUGCUGCUGACACUGAGGCUCGAAAGCGUGCAGAACAAAAUAGACUAGAUACCCUGGUACUCCACGCCGUACACUAUGAGUGCUAAGUGUUAUAGGGUUUCCUCCCUUUACUGAUGAAGUUAACGUCUUACGCACUCCGCCUGGUGACUACGAGCCACACUGCUAAGACUCGACGGAUUCGACCGCGGCCCGCACGAGCAUGUGGAUCAUGUCGAUUAAUUCAAAACAACGCGAACUAGCCUUACAAGUCUUGACAUCCUCUGAAGACGCUAUAGAUGCGUCUUCUCCUUCGGAGACAGAGCGACAGGUGGUGUCUGGCUCGUCGUGCACCUCGAGGCUUGGGUUAUUGCCCUUAAUACCCCCACCCCCUGCACCCCUUGU
rnacentral:rRNA from 1 species